AAGGGGGGUGCGCUGGGGGAUUGGAUUCAUUCAGAUUUCCAAUUCCUCCUUUCUUUCUGACAUCCUCUCCCUAUUGUACAAUUAGUCUCUUCCUUCUCUUGUUAGGAUAAGUCCAAAAAUAGAAAGGACAAGUCCAAUUUUAGGAUAAGAGUCUAGGAAGAGAAUUAAGGAAGAUAAGGAGAGAAGAAAGGUAGGGAUAGGAAGGCUAGGAGAAGAGGAAGAGCGUCUUGAGGUCCUGGUGUUCAAGAAAAUUCUCAGAGUGAGAAUUUUGGAGGAAGAAUCAUCUCAAAGAUUUGGUAUCCUGAUCAUAGCUCUGUAUGGAUCACCAUUGGAGGGCGAACACUUGGGCGCCUGGUGGAGGUUCUACCAAAAUUUGGAUUAAGUGCUGCAGGUAUUCUUCUAUAACUUAAAUUUAAUCUUGAAUUUAUGUUAUAUAUGAUUGUUAAUCAUCAAGGAGAUGCUGGUUUAAGGAUUUAAUAUUUAAGAUAUCUUUAUUAAAAUUUUAAAAUCCAUUAUGUUUCUACUGUGC
rnacentral:lncRNA from 1 species